AUGGGAUUUUUGCUCCUUGUAAUUUUUGCUGUAGCGGUUUUGGAAGGUGCCCAGUCGCAGGUGCUGGUGGAGUCCGGAGGGGAUGUGAAAAAGCCCGGAGACUCUCUCCGCCUCUCCUGCAAAGCCUCCGGGUUCACCUUCAGCAGCUACUGGAUGGACUGGGUCCGACAGGCUCCCGGGAAGGGACUUGAAUGGGUCGCUGCUAUAAGCUCCGGUGGGGACAGUGCAUAUUACCCUGAUUCAGUGAAAGGCCGAUUCACCAUCUCCAGGGAUAAUUCCAAGAGUGAGCUGUAUCUGCAAAUGACCAGCCUGAAGCCCGAGGACACCGCCCGGUAUCACUGUGCGAGAGACACAGUGAGGGGAAGCAGGGGCUGCUUCACCAUCUCCAGGGACAACCCCAACAACCUGCUGUUUCUGCAAAUGACCGGCCUGAAACCCGAGGACACCACCCGGUAUCACUGUGCGGGACACAGUGAAGGGAAGCCGGACUGA